GUACCCUCAAGCUCUGCUUGGUGUUGGGUGUUUGUCCUCUCCUCUGCGUUUGGACUCGCCUUAAAGCAAUUGGCAGCCAGUGUUUUGGUAUUGAAGCGCAGCACAAUUUGCGAUUCUAGCCCAAAGACUUGCGUCCAUAAGCCUUUUUAAC
rnacentral:misc_RNA from 1 species